AGUCAUGGGGGCUCCAAAGUGCUGUUCGUGCAGGUAGUGUAAUUACCUGACCUACUGCUGAGCUAGCACUUCCCGAGCCCCCAGGACA
ensembl:miRNA Mir93 microRNA mir-93